UACGUAGGGAGCGAGCGUUGUCCGGAAUUACUGGGCGUAAAGGGUGCGUAGGUGGCCUAGCAAGUCAGAUGUGAAAUCCCCGGGCUUAACUCGGGGGGUGCAUUUGAAACUGCAAGGCUUGAGUGCAGGAGAGGAAAGCGGAAUUCCUAGUGUAGCGGUGAAAUGCGUAGAUAUUAGGAGGAACACCAGUGGCGAAGGCGGCUUUCUGGACUGUAACUGACACUGAGGCACGAAAGCGUGGGGAGCAAACAGG
rnacentral:rRNA from 1 species